CUUCACCACGCCCUAGAGGAGCCUGUCCAAUAACCGACGACCCACGAUUAACCCAGCCCCCCCUUGCCUACAGUCUAUAUACCGCCGUCGCCAGCCUACCUUGUGAAAGAAAUAAAGUAGGCCAAACAGUACCCACACUAAAACGACAGGUCGAGGUGUAACUCAUGAGGCGGACCCAGAUGGGCUACACUCUCACGCCCGAGAAUACGGAAAACACUACGAAAUUAGUCUUUAAAGGUGGAUUUAGCAGUAAGCUGGAAAUAAAACACCCGACUGAACAUAACGCAAUGAAGUGCGUACACACCGCCCGUCAUCCCUGCUAACAC
rnacentral:rRNA from 1 species